UUUUGGUUACCAACGUAAUAGAAAUCAGUUAUAUAUCAUAACUAGAUUAUAACCCGCGGUAUACCGUGGAGAUAAUUUUUUUUUAAAAUUAGUAUAUAUAAAAGUCUGCAAAUUAUAUUUAUCUAUAAAAUAUUUACAUUUUAUAGUUUACAAUUGUUAUUAAAUAACAUCCUUCCAAACCCGUUCCGCCAAACCCGUCCCGUUAAAAAACUCCGCGGUACACCACUAAUUUAAAUAAAUAUUUUAUGGGAUUGCAAUUAUAUUUUAGUUUGUCAAAUAAAGUUUUGUUUCAAAUAGUUGUCAAAAUCUAGUUCAAAUAUUGGAGAAAUAAGAUUUAGUGAACUGAUAGUAAAUGUAUUUAUUUGCGUUUUGCUCAUUUUAAGGGAUUGCAAUUGUAUUUUGGUUUGUCAAAUAUUUUUUGUUUUAAAUAGUUUCCGAAAUCUAGUUUAAAUUUUGGAGAAAUUUGCGUGAUAUAUGGGAUUAGAAUAUAUUUGGAAUAUGUUUUGUUUGUUAAUCAAUUUAUUGCCAAAAGAAAACUAAUAAUUAAAAGCCAGUGGCAGGUAUUGUAAAUAAGUUCGAACUCUAGGAUUUAUUUCACAAAAUGGCUGCAAAAAUGUAUAUAUAGAUAAUAGUGUCCAUACAAAUUUUCUUCAAUAUAUGCAAAAAG
rnacentral:sRNA from 1 species